rnacentral:rRNA from 1 species
CCCUUAGAUGUUCUGGGCCGCACGCGCGCUACACUGACUACUUCAACGAGUUGUUUCCUUGAUCGAAAGGUCUGGGUAAUCUUUGAAAGGUAGUCGUGAUGGGGAUAGAUCCUUGCAAUUUUUGAUCUUCAACGAGGAAUUCCUAGUAAACGCAAGUCAUCAGCUUGCAUUGAUUACGUCCCUGCCCUUUGUACACACCGCCCGUCGCACCUACCGAUUGAAUGGUCCGGUGAAUCUUUAGGACUGUGGCUGAGGCCUUGCCUUGUGCGGGUCUGGCCGUGGGAAUUUAGUUAAACCUUACCAUUUAGAGGAAGGUGUAGUCGUAACA